rnacentral:rRNA from 1 species
CGACCGCUGGCGGCGUGCUUAACACAUGCAAGUCGAACGGAAAGGCCCUGCUUUUGUGGGGUGCUCGAGUGGCGAACGGGUGAGUAACACGUGAGUAACCUGCCCUUGACUUUGGGAUAACUUCAGGAAACUGGGGCUAAUACCGGAUAGGAGCUCCUGCUGCAUGGUGGGGGUUGGAAAGUUUCGGCGGUUGGGGAUGGACUCGCGGCUUAUCAGCUUGUUGGUGGGGUAGUGGCUUACCAAGGCUUUGACGGGUAGCCGGCCUGAGAGGGUGACCGGCCACAUUGGGACUGAGAUACGGCCCAGACUCCUACGGGGGGCAGCAGUGGGGAAUAUUGCACAAUGGGCGGAAGCCUGAUGCAGCAACGCCGCGUGCGGGAUGACGGCCUUCGGGUUGUAAACCGCUUUCGCCUGUGACGAAGCGUGAGUGACGGUAAUGGGUAAAGAAGCACCGGCUAACUACGUG